rfam:Halobacillus sp. BBL2006 cont31, whole genome shotgun sequence.
ACAACCUUUAAAUAAAGUCCCGUGAGGCUUAUAAGGUUCGUAUUGAAGACACGUGUGCAGAAAACACGUCUACCUCUUUGCGUACCUAUAAGCGCAAAGAGGUUUUUUUAU